rnacentral:rRNA from 1 species
AUUGAACGCUGGCGGCAGGCCUAACACAUGCAAGUCGAGCGGAUGACGGGAGCUUGCUCCUGGAUUCAGCGGCGGACGGGUGAGUAAUGCCUAGGAAUCUGCCUGAUAGUGGGGGACAACGUUUCGAGAGGAACGCUAAUACCGCAUACGUCCUACGGGAGAAAGCAGGGGACCUUCGGGCCUUGCGCUAUCAGAUGAGCCUAGGUCGGAUUAGCUUGUUGGUGAGGUAAUGGCUCACCAAGGCGACGAUCCGUAACUGGUCUGAGAGGAUGAUCAGUCACGCUGGAACUGAGACACGGUCCAGACUCCUACGGGAGGCAGCAGUGGGGAAUAUUGGACAAUGGGCGAAAGCCUGAUCCAGCCAUGCCGCGUGUGUGAAGAAGGUCUUCGGAUUGUAAAGCACUUUAAGUUGGGAGGAAGGGUUGUAGAUUAAUACUCUGCAAUUUUGACGUUACCGACAGAAUAAGCACCGGCUAACUCUGUGCCAGCCGCCGCCGUAAUAC